CCUACAGGGGGCUGCAGUGGGGAAUAUUGGACAAUGGGGGGAACCCUGAUCCAGCCAUGCCGCGUGUGUGAAGAAGGCCCUCGGGUUGUAAAGCACUUUCAGUGAGGAAGAACGCCUGGUGGUUAAUACCCAUCAGGAAAGACAUCACUCACAGAAGAAGCACCGGCUAACUCCGUGCCAGCAGCCGCGGUAAUACGGAGGGUGCGAGCGUUAAUCGGAAUUACUGGGCGUAAAGCGCGCGUAGGUGGCUUGAUAAGCCGGUUGUGAAAGCCCCGGGCUCAACCUGGGAACGGCAUCCGGAACUGUCAAGCUAGAGUGCAGGAGAGGAAGGUAGAAUUCCCGGUGUAGCGGUGAAAUGCGUAGAGAUCGGGAGGAAUACCAGUGGCGAAGGCGGCCUUCUGGACUGACACUGACACUGAGGUGCGAAAGCGUGGGUAGCAAACAGGAUUAGAUACCCUAGUAGUC
rnacentral:rRNA from 1 species